GUAACCGGCUCACCAAGGCGACGACGGGUAGCCGGCCUGAGAGGGCGACCGGCCACACUGGGACUGAGACACGGCCCAGACUCCUACGGGAGGCAGCAGUGGGGAAUAUUGCACAAUGGGCGCAAGCCUGAUGCAGCGACGCCGCGUGAGGGAUGACGGCCUUCGGGUUGUAAACCUCUUUCGGCAGGGAAGAAGCCGCAAGGUGACGGUACCUGCAGAAGAAGCCCCGGCCAACUACGUGCCAGCAGCCGCGGUAAGACGUAGGGGGCGAGCGUUGUCCGGAUUUAUUGGGCGUAAAGCGCGCGUAGGCGGCUCGGUAAGUCGGGUGUGAAAUCCCGAGGCUCAACCUCGGGUCUGCAGUCGAUACGAGCAAACUAGAGUGUUGCAGGGGAGACUGGAAUUCCUGGUGUAGCGGUGAAAUGCGCAGAUAUCAGGAAGAACACCGAUGGCGAAGGCAGGUCUCUGGGUAGUAACUGACGCUGAGGAGCGAAAGCAUGGGUAGCGAACAGGAUUAGAUACCCUGGUAGUCCAUGCCGUAAACGGUGGGCGC
rnacentral:rRNA from 1 species